rnacentral:rRNA from 1 species
UACGUAGGGUGCGAGCGUUAAUCGGAAUUACUGGGCGUAAAGCGUGCGCAGGCGGUCCGCAAAGUCUGAUGUGAAAGCCCCGGGCUCAACCUGGGAAUUGCAUUCGAGACUGAAUAGCUAGGGUACGGUAGAGGGAAGUGGAAUUUCCGGUGUAGCGGUGAAAUGCGUAGAUAUCGGGAGGAACACCGGUGGCGAAGGCGGUUCUCUGGGCCUUACCUGACGCUGAGGAGCGAAAGCGUGGGGAGCGAACAGG